CCUACGGGAGGCUGCAGUGAGGAAUAUUGGUCAAUGGUCGGGAGACUGAACCAGCCAAGCCGCGUGAGGGAUGAAGGUACAGAGUAUCGUAAACCUCUUUUGUCAGGGAACAAAGGCGGGGACGUGUCCCCGGCUGAGUGUACCUGAAGAAAAAGCAUCGGCUUACUCCGUGCCAGCAGCCGAGGUAAUACGGGGAGUGCGAGCGUUGUCCGGAGUUAGUGGGUUUAAAGGGUGCGCAGUCGGUCUGUUAAGUCAGCGGUCAAAGCCCGAGGAGCACCCCAGGCCCGCCGUUGAACAUGGCAGUCUCGAGUUGGAGAGAAGUAUGCGGAAUGCGCGGUGUAGCGGUGAAAUGCAUAGAUAUCGCGCAGAACUCCGAUUGCGAAGGCAGCAUGCCGGCUCCACACUGACGCUGAGGCACGAAAGCGUGGGUAUCGAACAGGAUUAGAUACCCUGGUAGUC
rnacentral:rRNA from 1 species